GGGAUUGUGGCUCAGUGACAGAGCGCUUGCCUCACAUGUAUGAGGCCCUGGGUUCGAUCCUCAGCACCA
rnacentral:tRNA from 1 species